AUUGAACGCUGGCGGCAUGCCUUACACAUGCAAGUCGAACGGCAGCGGGGACUUCGGUCCGCCGGCGAGUGGCGAACGGGUGAGUAAUGCAUCGGAACGUACCCGGGAGUGGGGGAUAACUAUCCGAAAGGAUAGCUAAUACCGCAUAAUCUGUGAGCAGGAAAGCAGGGGAUCUUCGGACCUUGUGCUUCCGGAGCGGCCGAUGUCAGAUUAGCUAGUUGGUGGGGUAAAGGCCUACCAAGGCGACGAUCUGUAGCGGGUCUGAGAGGAUGAUCCGCCACACUGGAACUGAGACACGGUCCAGACUCCUACGGGAGGCAGCAGUGGGGAAUUUUGGACAAUGGGCGCAAGCCUGAUCCAGCCAUGCCGCGUGAGUGAAGAAGGCCUUCGGGUUGUAAAGCUCUUUCGGCCGGGAAGAAAUCGCGUGAGUUAAUACCUUGCGUGGAUGACGGUACCGGAAUAAGAAGCACCGGCUAACUACGUGCCAGCCGCCGCAGUAA
rnacentral:rRNA from 1 species